rnacentral:misc_RNA from 1 species
AACGCAACUGGCGUUGGCUACUAGCCAACAUAUAUGUAUCAGUGUAUUAGGAAAUCACAAAUCUCAAUGUGGUUGAGUUCUUUACAGAUCUCUCCCAUUAAACACGAAGGCGUAUUGAGCAUUUCGAUUGCCGAACGAAGUAGUCGCUAUUUAUAGUGAUCUCGUUUUGUGCAAAAGUAGCUCAAUUAUAUACUCCUUUUAAUCAUUCUCUCCAUUUGUACCUGAUAUAUGUAAGAUUACCCGCUGAACUUAA